rnacentral:tRNA from 1 species
GGUAAUUAUAUUUCAAUGGUAGAAUAUUUGUUUGUGGUACAAAAAGUUCUUGGUUCGAAUCCAAGUAAUUACCC